GAGACACCCUUCUGGGGCAAGACUUGCUUCAGUGGGGCUUUGGUGCUCACUGAGUCUGCCUCCUGCAUGUGUCCCU
rnacentral:pre_miRNA from 1 species